GUUUUCUUUUCCUAGGAUAUAAUUAACCUUUUCUUGCUUAACGCAGAACAACCUAGAAUACUUUGAGCUGAUAUUAUGGAGAGGUUACAUAAAGAUGGUAUACUAUCAAGGGCAAGCAAAGAUGGUUAUACAGUUAACCAGAUAUUAUGGAGAGGCUACAUAAAGAUGGUAUACUAUCAAGGGCAAGCAAAGAUGGUUAUACAGUUAAUCAGGUCAGCGCCUUCAGAGCAAAAUAACAGUAGGGAUAUCUGCUACACGAAUGGCUACAUGUCUCAAUGGGAUUAGUUCACUGCAUAGAUCGAACCAAUUGCUUCAAGGGUUCCAAACAUGAUUGACA